UUGCAUAAAAUUCACAGCACAUCUCAUAAAAAAUAAAUCGGGGGCUUGAGUAGGAUCGGGAAGAGGAGGAAGUUGUGCGGGAUCAACAUGAACUUCUUCUUCGGAUGAAGAAUUUGAGGAAGAAUUAUUGUUGGAAGAAUUGGUGGAUGAAGACAUUUUUUAGGAGUUGAAGAGAAUUGUUGGAUGAAUUGUGUUUGUGAUUGAAGGGGAUAUAUAUAGGUGAAAAAGAAAAAAAAACAAAAAAAAAAACAAAAAAAAUCGGCCGAAGACCGUUGAAGGCAACGGUCAUUUGACCGUUAAAAUUAAUUUUUUUUUUUUAAUUUCGGAAAGGGGCGCGUGUUUACACGCCCCCUCCUUCGCUCCCACAUUCGUCGAGUGCGAACGCA
rnacentral:lncRNA from 1 species